UGUUAGGAUACCAAACAGGAAGACAGGCUGCCGAUGCACUCCUGCUAAUUCUGGUAUGAAGAAAAAAGAAAAUUCCAGAAUGAUUCUGAGGACUUGGAGCUGGAGCAAUCAACAGUGGAACUGGCAUUAAAUGACAUGAAGUAGAAAGUUCUUCAGAAUUAUUGUCAAACAAGGAAAUAAAUGCAAAUAUCCUCUCAUCAUUUACUUAUGGGCUGUGAUUCCCCACUGACAAGUCCGAACACAAUUGUCAGAGGAUAAACAACAGGAAUAAGACAUUAUUAAAGGUCAAGAAACUGCUUUCUCAGGAUCCCAUAAGCAGGUGCCC